UUAAAAGCAAUUACUUUGAGUUCACUCCUGCAAGUUUCUCAAUUAAUCAUGGUCAAGGCUAGCAACAAUUUGAUCAACUGCUACUUGAACGUAGCCUUAGUUCUUACUUUUCUUCUCAUUCUAACUCCAUCCCUUGGACGAGUACUUCUCACGUCUAAUGACGACAAGUUUCAGGCCAUUCAGGCUUGUAGCCUUUAUAAUGUAGAUACUGGCGACACUUGCGAUAGUAUUAUCAAGUUUUUCAAUCUGAAAGCAAAGGACUUCCAUUCUUUCAACCCAAAUCUUAACUGUGACGAUCUUUUUGUGGGUCAAUAUCUCUGUCUCAACGCAACCUUAUCUACUUGAAAUCUUGAAUCCAAGUCAUGAUGGCCAUCAAUAUAUUGUACUAGCUUAAUUAUAAGUGUAUGCAUCUCUAGUCUUAGAUGCAAAUUAAAUCUCUUCCAGUAAUGAGAUUUACAAAUAUAUGUAUCCCUUUAAACCAAGAAUUUCUUUGGUUAUGUUGUAUGUUUGUAUCAAGUGAUGUUUCCCUGUAAUGGAGAUCAGUUCAUUAA